rnacentral:tRNA from 1 species
AUCUUAUUAGUAUAAUUAAUACAAUUAGCUUCCAACUAACUAAUCCCAAAGGAUAAGAUA